rnacentral:rRNA from 2 species
UAAAACCAGCACCUCAAGUGGUCAGGAUGAUUAUUGGGCCUAAAGCAUCCGUAGCCUGUUUUGUCAGGUUUCGGUUAAAUCCAUACGCUUAACGUAUGGGCUGCCGGAAAUACUGCAAAACUAGGGAGUGGGAGAGGUAGACGGUACUCGGGAGGAAGGGGUAAAAUCCUUUGAUCUCUCGAUGACCACCUGUGGCGAAGGCGGUCUACCAGAACACGUCCGACGGUGAGGGAUGAAAGCUGGGGGAGCAAACCGGAUUAGAUACCCGGGUAGUCCCAGCUGUAAACUAUGCAAACUCAGUGAUGCAUUGGCUUGAUGCCAAUGCAGUGUUGCAGGGAGGCCGUUAAGUUUGCCGCCUGGGAAGUACGUACGCAAGUAUG